GUGUGCCUUUAUCUUUUUGACUUAUUUUAGGGGUUCACACUCACACAGGCACAUCGCCUCUCUCUACUCUACUCACACAGCUACUACUUCCUUACUGCUCGCUCCUUCCUUCCUCACUGCCGACGUCGCUCCUCCCUCACCGGUGUCUCCAUUCUCCCUCACCGGCGUCUUCUUUCUCCCGCAUUGGCUCUCAAAUCGCUAUACGAAGACGAACCAAAGUUCAUUCUGAUUUUCACCCCCCAAUCGACCCUCUCUCUGUGCUCUGUAGGUGCUCUCACUUCCAGGUAUUUUCAUCAAGGACACGAGAAGGACACUCUCCCACUCUCUAUCCACUCACUAGUAGAUUGAUGAAAUGAAAUAUAUGAAGGCUGAGUUACCAAGGAAUUGGAUUUGGUUGUUACCUGUUAGAACCAACUCCUAUUAUAAUUACAUGUACAAGUGCCCAUCUAACUUAUAGAUUUGUUUAAUUUGCUGAUCAAGGUAAUUUAUGACAAAAAUGUCCCAUUAGUAAAGUUCUUAGACAUAGCUAUAAGUUGUUCAUGGCAUACAUUUUGGAAUAUAGAAAAAUAUUUGGGAGGGUUUCAUAUGCCUUAACACUUCAUCUGUUGAUUUUGUGUUUCAAAUGCUUGUUGAUGAUAUUGGUGAUGUAACAAUUACUAAUGAUGGUGCUAUAAUACUCAAGAUGUUAGAUGUUGAGCAUCCUAUUGCAAAGGUGGAAGAUUAAAGCAUCCAUUUGGCUGAGCUUCAAGACCGAGAAAUUGGAAAUUGGACAACUUCUGUGGUUAUUAUAGCUACUGUAAAGUUAGAGGAAGCAAGCUAGGAUUUCAAAGAAGAAGAGAAUUGCAAAGGCCAAGGAAGAGGCAUUCGAAUACCACAAACUCCUCGCCACUAGUUUUGAAGGACAGCUUGGAAAAUAUGGCCCAAUCUUUUGUUUCCAAGCUUGAAAUGCAGAAAAGUGUAAUGAUUCAGGAGUCCACUUUGUUCAAAUUCAAGUCUAAAGUUCAAAGCUCACAGUGAACUCUACAAUCUAUGUAUCACAUAUGCCUUUGGGAUGAUUCUACUGCAGUGAGAAAUGCCGCUCAACCACCUCAAUCUGUAACUGCUGCAGGUCAGAAAUUUCUUGGAGAGAUGCAAAAUAUGGUCAAAGAAUUCAAGAACUUAGUUUUUC